GUUGCAAUUAUCCGUCAUCCUCGUCAUGGUGAAUAUGCAUUUGGUUUCAUCACAUCUUCUGUUGUCCUUCAGAGAGAAGAUGGAGAUGAAGAGUUAUGCAGCGUUUAUGUUCCAACAAACCAUUUAUACAUUGGUGACAUAUUUCUGGUCAAUUCUGAUGAGAUCAUAAGACCAAACUUGUCUAUUCGGGAAGGCAUAGGUCUGGUUAUUCCUUUUAACUUUAAUUCCAUUGUUGUGAGCUGUGUUUUUAGUUUCCUGUUCCUUUUUUCCCUUGAUGAUGUGCUUAAUUAAAAUGAAAAUAUAUUUGAAUUAUAACUGCUAUAAGAUAUAAAAUUUGCUGAGAAAUUGAACCCUAGUUGAUAAGGAAGAAGGGCCUCUUGGAUUUAGGAAAAACUAGGCCUAGAUUCAUUUAAAAUUGGCUCACACUUAUACAUGUGCAUACAUAUGAGAAAAAAGAAAAGGUCUUCAAAGUUCAAACAUUCUUUCUGUGGCAAACCUAAUCACUUUCUCUCAUCACUUCUUUGUCAAUCGUCUGUAAAUCUAAAUCUUCCUUUACUCUCUUCACUGUCUCUAUAACAAAAAAUGCUCUUUUCAUUGCCCCCACAACCAAACCCUUACUUCCCUUUCAUCAAAUCCCAAAUGGCAAACCCGAAAACCCUCAAGGAAAUAAAGUCCUCAAAACUUAAAAAGGCACCCAAAUCAGAACAAAGUCUGCAUUUCAUUGGUGGUAUUGCUCGGGAUGCCAUAAAGGGGAUUGAUGACAUUUUGUAAUUUGGGGUUGUGAGAAAGAAAGCAACUUGUGGUUUCAAAUGCUUUGGCUUUGUUAGUUUUGCUGAACUUUCCAUCUUUGGUAGGGUUCUUUAAGAUAAGCAUGUCGUUGAUGGUAGAAUAGUGGAAGUUUUUUUAACUAUUAUGUUGGUGACGAUUUUUUGUUUUCUUGGUAAUAUUAUUUGGUGUUUAUGAUCCAAUUUGCUAUUGUUUUUGUUAGUGGUCGUUGGAUUAUGGGUUGUUGUCCAUUUUGCUCUAUCUCAAUCUCCUUAUUUGUUUAUUUCUCUUUGGUGUUGCUUUUAUUGAGAGUCAUUGGUUUAACUACUUUCUAGUCCUAUUUGAGUUCAUGGGAUUUGCACUAACAGCUGAUUGGGAUGCCACAAUAGCUCUCCAAUAAGACUUGUCAGAAUCUAUCAACAAUUACUCGAUUGAUGGAUUGCUAAGUAUAGUGCUACAUUUGAACAAAAAAUUUUCAUGACCACUAUAAAACUUCUGUGAUGGGUUCAAAGAUCAUUGGUGAAUUUUACCCCAUAAUCAACAACAAUAGUUACUAGAAAGCUCAUAGGGCAUCAUACGAUAACCAUAUUCAGAAUGAGUUAAAAAGUAAAUUAAUAACUUGCUGCCACUUCUGCUAUUUGCUACAGCUUAAAGCAAAUUAUAGUUUCCUAAAGGAGAUUGUAUUUAUCUCCUGCAUGUCAGAUAUACAUACCAGGAAGGAAGAUAAGAUGUUGCAAUAGCAGAGGUCGGUAUAUUCUGAAGUAUAUAAGUAUAUAGACAUGCAACUCUCAAAUUAAUGAAACUUUAUGAAGUAUUGAAAUAAAUUAGGCUUCCUGUAAAAAGUAGAAACAUGGUUAUAUUGAGAGAAAUUCUGCUGAGGGCUUUGACUGGUUUCUGACACAAUUAUUUAAACUGGCCUAAUUUAGGAAGCCAUCAUGCCUUUAUGGUGUGCCAUGCAAUCCCUUUUUUUUUUGGGUUGCAUAACUGUUUGAGCUAGUUUUGCAGUAUUGAAUUCUGUUAACCCCAGCUGCUUUGCUUUGUAAUACAGAGAUCAUUGUUUCAGUUGGGAUGACAAUGCCACAAUUGAUAUCUUCUAUAGAAAGGAUUCCUCAUCAGAGCAAUAGGAUCCCUCUUAGCAGAAUUAUAUGAAGGAAUGGUUGACAAUCCUAAAGGUGACAAAGAAAGUCACAUUGUGUUUUCCUUGGCCAGAUCUAUUUUUUUAGAGAUUUAGUUGGUCAGAGAAUACAGCGCACAUAUGGAAAGGUGAAACCAUGUAAACUCGGUAUGACAACACAUGUAUAUUUCAUCUUAUCGAUUUGCUAGUGUAAGAAAGUGCUGGGUACCCCAGUUUGACUCUGGAUAAAGGCAGUCAUAUUCAUAGAAUGUGCCAAAUAUCCACUUCUAUUCUGUACAAAGGUCACAAGAAAUGCCACACACUUCUUUUAUUUUGCAUAAAGAUUCACCCCCUCUAUAUGUUUCUGUGGUGACUUUGUGUGCCAAAUUACAUACCGACACAGAUUUCUUUAUUGAAGGUUGGUGAUUUUUAAUUGCUACCUGCAAUGAAUCUUGAACCGAUGAUACAAGCAGAUGUUACCUAACUGUUUAGUGUUUACCAGACAAUCUUGAACAGGCACAGUUAGGUGUUGAAAACCUGACUGUUUACCAGAAUUUCUGUUCAUCCUUCUUUCACUAUAAUACUCUUGAAACGCUAUAUUCAUGAAAUGAUGUUAGAAACUGUGUACUAGUGAAUAAUUUCUUGUCGCUGAAAAAGGUGAUCCUGCUAGUUAUGAUGGACAUUCUAGGAACAAUAAUGGUAUAGUGCUAAUUACAAUGGAAGUGGUUUCAUUUCAUGAUCCCAAAUCCCAAGCUAGUGAAGUUAUUUCCCUUAAACUCUUCUGAUGCAAUUUUGAGUUAAAAUA
rnacentral:misc_RNA from 1 species